GACGAACGCUGGCGGCGUGCUUAACCCAUGCAAGUCGAACGCUGAAGCUCAGUUCUUGUCGGGUGGCUGAGUGUCGAACAGGUGAGUAACACGUGCGUACCCUGCCCCCUUUUUUGGGAUAACGCCCUGGAACGGGUGCUACUACUGGCUAUUACCUGGUCAUCGCCUGGGGUUCGGUGGAAAGGGUUUUUCUGCUGGGGGAUGGGCUCGCGGCCUAUCAGCUUGUUGGUGGGGUGAUGGCCUACCAAGCCUUUGACGGGUAGCCGGCCUGAGCGGUUAACCGGGCACAAUGGCACUGAGAUACGGCCCAGACUCCGACGAGAGGCGGCAGUGGGGAAUAUGGCGCAAUGGGCGCACGCCUGAUCCACCGACGCCGCGUUAGGGUUAGGGUCCUGCGAGUUGUGAACCUCUUUCGCUCAUGGUCAAGCCGCAACAAUGGUUGUGGUGAGGGUAGUGGGUAAAGAAGGGCCGGCUAACUACGUG
rnacentral:rRNA from 1 species